rnacentral:rRNA from 1 species
UACGUAGGGUGCAAGCGUUAUCCAGAUUUACUGGGCGUAAAGCGCACGCAGGCGGAUGAUUAAGUCAGCUGUGAAAGCUCCCGGCUCAACUGGGAAGGGUCGGCUGAAACUGGUCGUCUGGAGGGCAACAGAGGAGUGUAGAAUUGCGGGUGUAGUGGUGAAAUGCGUAGAUAUCCGCAGGAAUACCAGUGGCGAAGGCGGCACUCUGGGUUGUACCUGACGCUGAUGUGCGAAGGCUAGGGGAGCGAACGGG